CCUACGGGUGGCAGCAGUGGGGGAUAUUGCACAAUGGGGGAAACCCUGAUGCAGCGACGCCGCGUGGGGGAAGACGGUCCUCUGGAUUGUAAACCACUGUCCCCAGGGACGAAGAUGACGGUACCUGGGGAGGAAGCUCCGGCUAACUACGUGCCAGCAGCCGCGGUAAUACGUAGGGAGCGAGCGUUGUCCGGAAUUACUGGGUGAAAAGGGAGCGUAGGCGGGACUGCAAGUUGGGUGUCAAAUCUACCGGCUCAACCGGUAGCCGCACUCCAAACUGCAGUUCUUGAGUGAAGUAGAGGCAGGCGGAAUUCCUAGUGUAGCGGUGAAAUGCGUAGAUAUUAGGAGGAACACCAGUGGCGAAGGCGGCCUGCUGGGCUUUUACUGACGCUGAGGCUCGAAAGUGUGGGGAGCAAACAGGAUUAGAUACCCCAGUAGUC
rnacentral:rRNA from 1 species